ensembl:lncRNA
CCAUAAAAUCUGCAUUUGUGUAUUCUUUAGCACAGAACACUUCUGAUCUAUAGUAUACUCUUUAUGGGAACUAGAAAUAGGUGAUCUCAGAACCAGAGAGAACUCUGAUUUCGAGAUAGGGAGUUGGCAUCAGUGAGGACCCACCACUGCAAAGUAGCACAGUACAUCCUUCUAACCUCUAGGCUCAAGUCUUGAAUCAUGAAGAAUAAAAAAGAAAGAUAUGGCAGGAAAAAGAGGAUGUGAAAGAGACAGGUUGAUCAUUGUGCAAUGCAUGAUGUACGGAUCAUAUGGGCUUCUUGUUGUGCAGUGUAUAUAUUCUCCACCCAUUUCUGUAAUUUUCCCAAACCAGCUCUGUGAAGGAUUCAGGACCACUACCCCAAAAUAUGGCACCUUUUCCUUUGUGGGAACAACAGAAGCCGAAAGAUUACUCUCAUUUUCCUCUGACCUUUUUCCCUUGAAGCAGAACAUAAAGAAGGAUCUGACCUUCCUCUGAAGGAAAACUUCAUUCCAGAUGUACCCGCCCUAUAUCCAAAGAACAUCUUUAUCUUUAAAGACACAGAGAUGUCAAGAAGAAUCUGAACAGGCCUUGCCAGAUCCCCCAGAUUAUUAAUACUUGAACCAUACUUUUGUACGAUGUCCAUAAAAUACGCAAUUUUUUCCUAUUCCUUUGGGUAUUUAUUCCCAAAAGCUUCUGUGUCAUGUAAAACCUACAUUAAAUAAAUUUGUAUGCUUUUUGCUUGUAUGCUUUUCCCUCAUGUCUUUUGUUAUAAGGGUUUCAGCCAUGCUCCUGGCAAUGGGUGAUAAAAGAAAUCUUUAUUUUCUUUUUGUAAGUAUUCAUUUACAUGUAUUAUCAGUUUCAGGAUGUUUGGAUUUAUUUCUAAAAUUUUGUUUGACAAUUAAAUCUAUCAUCCAUUCAGACAUUAUAAGGAUUUGAAGACCCUUCAACAUAUACUGCUUACUCCCAACUAAUAUAUUCUUGUUAUCAAAUACUUUACUUCUUUUUGUUUUUCUAACCAUGCAAAUUAAAUGACUUCAUAAUCAUCAUCACUAUAUCCUAGAGUAAAUUUUUAUCCACAGUUACCAUUUCUUUUUGUUCAACAUUCCUUCUUCCAUUUUAGACCUUUCUUCAGCAAUUAUUUCCCAACUUACCUGAUGUACCUUUUUUCAAAUAACUUUAAUGAGUAUAUGUUUGCUGUAAAGUUUUUGUCUAAAUAAUGUUUAUUUGACCUUUCUUCUUGAAAGUUAGUUUUGUUAAAUUUAUAAUUAUGGACUAAUAGUUAUUUUUUUCUAAAAACUGAAGAUGUUAUUACUCUGAUUUCUGGCUUUCCUUGUUACUGGAGUGCAGUUGGCCGCAGCUUUGUCUUUUCCCUUUAGCUGCUUUUAAGAUUUUCUCUAUGUGUUUGUUACACUUCAGUUGUGAUUACAAUGUGUCUUUUUGAUGUUUAUUUUUAUUCUUGCUUUAGAUUUAUGGUUUCCCAAGCCAAAGCAUUACUGUCCUAAAGCAAUCUUAAAUGUUUAAAUGUUCCUAAGUAUUUUUUUCCCAUGAUUUCUGGAACUCCAAUUAAAGUGUGUUAAGUCUUUUUAUACCUUAACUCCUUUAUUCUUUUUUCCUUAUUGUGUUUCUUUUCAACUCCUGUCUGAAUUCUGGGUUAUUUCUUUAGAUCUUUCUUUUAGUUAAUUAAUCAUCUCUUCAGAGGUGCCUAAACUGUUUAACCCAUUCAAUAUAUAUUUUAUUUAUUUAUUUAUUUAUUUUUGAGACGGAGUUUCGCUCUUGUUACCCAGGCUGGAGUGCAAUGGCGUGAUAUCGGCUCAUCGCAACCUCCGCCUCCUGGGUUCAGGCAAUUCUCCUGCCUCAGCCUCCUGAGUAGCUGGGAUUACAGGCACGUGCCACCAUGUCCAGCUAACUUUUUGUAUCUUUAGUAGAGAUGGGAUUUCACCAUGUUGACCAAGAUGGUCUCGAAAUCUCGACCUCAUGAACCACCCACCUCGGCCUCCCUAAGUGCUGGGAUUACAGGCUUGAGCCACCGCGCCCGGCCCUUCAAUAUAUAUUUAAUUUUAUCUGUUGUAUUUUCUAGUUCUAAAACUUCUCUUUGAUUCUUUUGUAAAUGUUACUGACAAUUUCUAAUAGUCGCUUCCCCCACCCUUUCAUAUUUUCCAUUUCUUUUUCCAAUUCCUUAAACAUGUUAAAUAUUUUUUCUUGAUUUGUAUUCUAAAUCUUUUAAUUCUAGUCUUUGCAUCCUUCAAAGAUAGACUUUCGUUUAAACUUCAUAUAAUUAUGUCAGUUUGUAACUUAUUAUUUCUAUUUCAAGAUAAGAAAAACUAAAGUGAGGAAUGCUAGAUAAUUUACCAAUGUCAAAAAUUUAAUAAACAUGUGGGUUAGUAUUUCAACUCUGAUUUGCUUGACCUCAGAAAUGCUUUUGGUGUGAUCAUACUUGAGUCUUCCAGUCAUUAUUGAUUGAGCAACUAAUAUAUGUACUAAUAUGUCUCAUACUAAACUCUGAGUGUAUUGAGUGUGGGAAUAAUUGUAUAUUUAAUACUAUAUCCCAUGCAUUUAUUAAAAAGCAUAGAGACUUGGAGACAAUAUUUACAAGGUAACAUGGCCAAUCGUUGUCAUAGAAUCUUGUUUCUGGAUCCCCUAUUAUUACAGACUGAGUUCAUUUGUAGGAUCAGUUAAUAUUUGGCUCAUUAACCCCAGACCACCUCUGUAGUAGGAUGUGAAGGCUAAUAAUCCUAUGCACAAUUACGGAAUAUCUUUGGUGUCUUCAUUUAUAUUUAGUUCCAUCCCACUACUCUUAGGUUGUGGUGUUGGCUGUGUCUUUCUUUACCUUUAUUUAUUUGGAUUUUUGUGGUAGUUCAUUCAUGAAUGCUAAUCUCUUUCAUUUUGUUCCAGUUCAUCCUGGACGUGACUACAGCAUUAUUCUCUCUAAAGUGUAGCUUUUAUUGUAAAGCUCCUUGACUCAAAAACUUUCAGUGUUAUCUGUCUAUUGCUUAUAUUACGCUGUCUAAAAUCUUUCCAUUGGUAUUCAUACCAGUCUUUAGUAUGGUUCGAGUUUUCUAUUUCAAGCUUAAUUCUCUCUACCCCCUAUAUAAUGACAACAGCUAACACUUAUUAUGCACUUUCCCUUAGAAGACUGGUAUGCAUCAUGUCACUUAAUAUUUGCAACAAAUCUAGUGAUAUGUACAAUUAUCCUUGUUUUGCACAUGAGGACCCUAAGGCUUAAGAGAGUUUGCACAAGUUCACGCAACUAAUAAGAGGUCAAAAUGAAAUUUGAAUCCAGACAGUCUCACUCCAGAGCUGAUGCUAUAAAUUACCAACUGAACAUUGCUUACUUACAUCUCAUUCCCUAUCCCAGAACCAAAAGGGAUAAUUCAUUGUGUCUCAAACUUACAUUACACUUUUUUUUGCUUAUAUUUUAUCUUUUGCAAUGCUGCAUGAGUCACAUGACAAAACCUAACACACACCCAGUUUAAAUUUUAUUUUUUAUUUCUUACAAAUCUUCCCUCAUUUUUCAACUCUUAAAAUAUUACAUGUUCCUCUUGCUGUCACAGAAACAUUUAUUUCAGUGAUCUUUCGAUGUGCCUUGCCUCUCUGGUUGUGGCUCAGGGAUCAGUGUUUUGAGGGGAGAUGAUGACUUUAGUUCUCUUUCAGCAGUUAGCAUGAUGGAUGUAUUACUCCAUUUUUGCACUGCUAUAAAGAUAGUACCUGAGACUGAGUAAUUUAUAAAGAAAGCAGUUUAAUUGACUCACAGUUCUGCAUGGCUGGGGCGGCCUCAAGAAACUUAACAAUCAUAACAUAAGGCAAAGGGGUAGCAGGCAACUUCUUCAAAAUAAGCAGGACAGAUAGAGAGGAUGCAGGAAAAACUGCCACUUUUAAACGAUCAGAUCUCAUGAGAACUCUCUAUCAUGAAAAAAAAAUAGGGGAAACUGCCUCCAUGAUCCAAUCACCUCCUACCAGGCCUUCCCUCCACAUGUGGGGAUUACAUAUUGGAGAAGAGUUUUGGGUGGGGACACAGAGCCAAACUUUAUCACCUGGGAUUUGAAUUAGCAGAAAGACGUUUGGACGCUGCUUUUGCCACUUCGUAGGUAGAUGAUUUUGAGAAAGCUGUUGUGAACACUCUCCAAGUUUCUGUUGCAGGAUUUGUCCCUAGUUCAGCUAAAGAUGGGGUUCCUGUCUGGCCCAUGGCCACAAAAAUUUAGGCUCUCAGAGACUUAAAGGGUGAGUAAAGCAGGGUUUUAUUGGGUGAAAGGGGAAAACGGGAACCACGAGUGAGUCUGAGAGAAUGCUUCCCACCCGGCAGUUUGAAUCCCAGGUUCCACGUAGGAAGAGGCGGGGCCGGGGCACGAACUUCCCGAGGCUCCACCUCAUUGCGCAGGAUCGUUGCAGUUUCUCCAGGGACCCCUUCCAACUUGGCUGACUAAUUUCCUCACCCAUGAAAUGAAGAGGCUGAGCUACCUCAGAGGGCUGUAAUGAGAGAGCAACAGAGUAAUGCAGGUAAAUCUGAUGGCAGGUAAGUGGUGUAUCUCAGUGCUACCUUCUGUCCUAGUCCCACUUAGUUCAAGCGCAGGCCCUUGUUUAUAUUGGGUAUGUAGUAAACAAGUUGUAAGAGUGAAUGAAUCUCCACUGAGUCUCACUGACAAACUCCAUGAGUGUGUUCUGCUACUGCAAUUUUUGCAUGGGAUUUUCCUGAUGUUUGCCCCUCCUCUCAAAUAAAAACUGCCAACUAUGUGGCACAUUUUUAAG